CCUACGUGUGGCUGCAGUGGGGAAUAUUGGACAAUGGGCGAAAGCCUGAUCCAGCCAUGCCGCGUGUGUGAAGAAGGCCUUCGGGUUGUAAAGCACUUUCAGUGGGGAAGAAAGCCUUGGGGCUAAUACCCUCGAGGAAGGACAUCACCCACAGAAGAAGCACCGGCUAACUCCGUGCCAGCAGCCGCGGUAAUACGGAGGGUGCGAGCGUUAAUCGGAAUUACUGGGCGUAAAGCGCGCGUAGGCGGUCUGAUAAGCCGGUUGUGAAAGCCCCGGGCUCAACCUGGGAACGGCAUCCGGAACUGUCAGGCUAGAGUGCAGGAGAGGAAGGUAGAAUUCCCGGUGUAGCGGUGAAAUGCGUAGAGAUCGGGAGGAAUACCAGUGGCGAAGGCGGCCUUCUGGACUGACACUGACGCUGAGGUGCGAAAGCGUGGGUAGCAAACAGGAUUAGAUCCCCGGUAGUC
rnacentral:rRNA from 1 species